rnacentral:rRNA from 1 species
GUGGGGAAUAUUGGACAAUGGGCGAAAGCCUGAUCCAGCCAUGCCGCGUGUGUGAAGAAGGUCUUCGGAUUGUAAAGCACUUUAAGUUGGGAGGAAGGGCAGUAAGUUAAUACCUUGCUGUUUUGACGUUACCGACAGAAUAAGCACCGGCUAACUUCGUGCCAGCAGCCGCGGUAAUACGAAGGGUGCAAGCGUUAAUCGGAAUUACUGGGCGUAAAGCGCGCGUAGGUGGUUUUGUAAGUUGGAGGUGAAAACCCCGGGCUCAACCUGGGAACUGCGUCCAAAACUGCAUGACGAGAGGACGGUAGAGGGUAGUGGAAUUUCCUGUGUAGCGGUGAAAUGCGUAGAUAUAGGAAGGAACACCAGUGGCGAAGGCGACUACCUGGACUGAUACUGACACUGAGGUGCGAAAGCGUGGGGAGCAAACAGGAUUAGAAACCCUGGUAGUCC